CGGAAGGGAGAGAAGAUGCGCCACAGCUGCUAGGAGCUGCAGUUGUACUGGCUGUGCAUGAAACCACCCAUCGAGGUCAGGAGUCAAUUGAAAAGUUGUUAGGCCGGUAUUUCUACAUCUCGCAUUUGUCAGCUCUUGCCAAAACGGUGACGCAGUGGUGUGUUACCUGCCCACAGCAUAAUGCUAGGCAAUGUCCAGCCGUUCCACCCGGCAUACAAGCUUAUGGAGCAGCCCCCUUUGAAGAUCUCCAGGUGGACUUCACAGAGAUGUCAAAGUGUAGAGGUAACAAGUAUUUACUAGUUCUUGGGCGUACCUACUCUGGGUAGGUGGAGGCUUAUCCAACACGAACUGAGAAAGCUCGUGAAGUAACUCGUGUGCUUCUUCGAGAUCUUCUUCCUAGAUUUGAACUGCCCUUACGGAUCGGCUCAGAUAACAGGCCGGCAUUUGUGGCUGACUUAGUACAGAAGGCGGCAAAGAUAUUACGGAUCACAUGGAAACUGCAUGCUGCCUACUGGCCUCAGAGUUCCGGAAAGGUGGAGCGAAUGAAUCAAACUAUCAAAAAUAGUUUAGGGAAAGUAUGUCAGGAAACAGGAUUAAAAUGGAUACAGGCUCUCCCUAUGGUAUUAUUUAAAAUUAGAUGUACCACUUCUAAAAGAGCAGGAUAUUCCCCUUAUGAAAUAUUAUAUCAUAGGCCCCCUCCUAUAUUGCGGGGACUUCCAGGCACUCCCUGAGAGUUAGGUGAAAUUGAGUUACAGCGACAGCUACAGGCCUUAGGAAAAAUUACACAAACAAUCUCAGCCCGAGUAAAUGGCCUGUUAGCUUAUUCUCCCCAGUUCACCCUUUCUCCCCAGGUGAUCGAGUGUGGAUCAAGAACUGGAACGUAGCCUCUUUGUGUCCACUGUGGAAAGGACCCCAGACUGUCGUUCUGAGCCCUCCCACCGCUGUGAAGGUAGAAGGAAUCCCAGCCUGGAUCCACCACAGCCAUGUAAAACCUGCAGCGCGUGAAACCUGGGAGGCAAGACCAAGCCCAGACAACCCUUUCAGAGUGACCCUGAAGAAGACGACAAGCCCUGCUCCAGUCACACCCGGAAGCUGACUGGUCCACGCACGGCCGAAGCCUGAGGAAGCUCAUCGUGAGAUUCAUUUUUCUUAAAUUUUGGACUUAUACAGUAAGGGCUUCAACUGAUCUUACUCAAACUGGGGACUGUUCCCAGUGUAUUCAUCAGGUCACCGAAGUAGGACAGCAAAUUAAAACAAUCUUUCUGUUCUAUAGUUAUUAUGAAUGUGUGGAAACAAUAAAAGAAACUUGUUUGUAUAAUGCCACUCAGUGCAAGGUAUGUAGCCCGAGAAAUGACCGACCUGAUGCGUGUUAUAACCCAUCUGAGCCCUCCGCAACCACCGUUUUUGAAAUAAGAAUAAGAACUGGCCUUUUCCUAGGUGAUACAAGUAAAAUAAUAACUAGAACAGAAGAAAAAGAAAUUCCCAAGCAAAUAACUUUAAGAUUUGAUGCUUGUGCAGCCAUUAAUAGUAAAAAGCUAGAAAUAGGAUGUGGUUCUCUUAACUGAGAAAGGAGCUAAAGAGUAGAAAAUAAAUAUGUUUGUCAUGAGUCAGGGGUUUGUAAAAAUUGUGCCUAUUGGCCAUGUGUUAUUUAGGCUACUUAAAAAAAGAACAAAAAGGAACCGGUUUAUCUUCAGAAGGGGGAAGCCAACCCCUCCUGUGCUGCCAGUCACUGUAACCCACUAGAACUAAUAAUUACCAAUCCCCUAGAUCCCCGUUGGAAAAAGGGAGAACGUGUAACCCUGGGGAUCAAUAGGACAGGGUUAAACCCUCAAGUUGCCAUUGUAAUUAGAGGGGAGGUCCACAAGUGCUCUCCCAAACCAGUAUUUCAAACCUUUUAUGAGGAGCUGAAUGUGCCAGCACCAGAACUUCUGAAAAAGACAAAAAAUUUGUUUCUCCAAUUAGCAGAAAAUGUAAUUUUCUUACUUACAUAACUGUUACUUCUUGUUAUGUACGCGGAGGAACCACUAUCGGAGACAGAUGGCCUUGGGAAGCCCAAGAGUUGGUGCCUACUGAUCCAGCUCCUGAUAUAAUUCCAGUUCAGAAGGCCGAAGCUAGCAACUUCUAGGUCCUAAAAACCUCAAUUAUUAGACAAUACUGUAGAGCUAGAGAAGGGAAAGACUUUAUCAUCCCUGUAGGAAAGCUUAAUUGUAUAGGACAGAAGUUGUAUAACAGCACAAUACAGACAAUUACUUAGUAGGGCCUAAACCACACUGAAAAGAAUCCAUUUAGUAAAUUUUCUAAAUUAAAAACUGCUUAGGCUCAUCCAGAAUCUCAUCAGGACUGGACGGUUCCCGCUGGACUAUACUAGAUAUGUAGGCACAGAGCCUACAUUCGGUUACCUAAUAAAUGGGCAGGCAGUUGUGUUAUUGACACUAUUAAGCCAUCCUUUUUCUUAUUACCCAUAAAAACGGGUGAGCUCCUAGGUUUCCCUGUCUACGCCGCCCGAGAAAAGAAAGGCAUAGUUAUAGGAAACUGGAAGGAGAAUGAGUGGCCCCCUGAAAGGAUCAUUCAGUAUUAUGGGCCUGCCACAUGGGCACAAGACGGCUCAUGGGGAUACCGAACCCCCAUCUACAUGCUCAAUUGGAUCAUACGGUUGCAGGCCAUCUUAGAAAUAAUUACUAAUGAAACUGGCAGAGCUUUGACUGUUUUAGCUUGGCAAGAAACCCAAAUGAGGAAUGCUAUCUAUCAGAAUAGACUGGCCUUAGACUACUUGCUAGUAGCUGAAGGAGGAGUUUGUGGAAAAUUUAACUUAACCAAUUGCUGCCUACAAAUAAAUGAUCAAGGACAGGUGGUUAAAAACAUAGUCAGGGACAUGACAAAGGUGGCACAUGUGCCUGUACAGGUUUGGCACGAGUUUAAUCCUGAGUCUUUAUUUGAAAAAUGGUUUCCAGCUAUAGCAGGAUUUAAAACCCUCAUUGUAGGUGUAUUGCUAGUGAUAGGAGCUUGCUUGCUGCUCCCCUGUGUAUUACCCUUGCUUUUUCAAAUGAUAAAAGGUUUUGUAGCUACUUUGGUUCAUCAGAAAACUUCAGCACACGUGUGUUAUAUGAAUCAGUAUCGCUCUAUCUCACCAAUAGACUCAAAAAGUAAAGAUGAGAGUGAGAACUCCCACUAAAAAGUGAAAAUGCUCAAAGGGGGGAAAUAUGGUGUGAGACCACCACGUCUCCUGUUGUCCUUCCCAGUUUCUCCCCAACCUCCCCUUUUCCCUAGUUUGUAAGACAGCAAAAAAGGGAGAAAGCAAAAAGUUGGAAAAAACAGAAGUAAAAUAAAUAGCCAGAUGACCUUGGCGCCACCACCUGGCCCUGGUGGUUAAAAUGACAAUAAUAUUAACCCCUGACCAAAACUACAGGUGUUAUCUGUAAAUCCCAGACAUUGUAUGAGAAAGCACUGUAAAAACUUUUUGUUCUGUUAGCUGAAGUAUGUAGCCCCCAGUCACGUUCCUCAGGCUUACUUGAUCUAUUAUGACUUUUUCACGUAGACCCUUUAGAGUUGUAAGCCCUUAAAAGUGCUAGGAAUUUCUUUUUCAGGGAGCUCGGCUCUUAAGACACGAGUCUACCGACGCUCCCGGCCGAAUAAAAAAACCUCUUCCUUCUUUA
rnacentral:lncRNA from 1 species